rnacentral:rRNA from 1 species
AUUGAACGCUGGCGGCAGGCCUAACACAUGCAAGUCGAACGGAUGAAGGGAGCUUGCUCCUGGAUUCAGCGGCGGACGGGUGAGUAAUGCCUAGGAAUCUGCCUGGUAGUGGGGGAUAACGUCCGGAAACGGGCGCUAAUACCGCAUACGUCCUGAGGGAGAAAGUGGGGGAUCUUCGGACCUCACGCUAUCAGAUGAGCCUAGGUCGGAUUAGCUAGUUGGUGGAGUAAAGGCCUACCAAGGCGACGAUCCGUAACUGGUCUGAGAGGAUGAUCAGUCACACUGGAACAGAGACACGGUCCAGACUCCUACGGGAGGCAGCAGUGGGGAAUAUUGGACAAUGGGCGAAAGCCUGAUCCAGCCAUGCCGCGUGUGUGAAGAAGGUCUUCGGAUUGUAAAGCACUUUAAGUUGGGAGGAAGGGCAGUAAGUUAAUACCUUGCUGUUUUGACGUUACCAACAGAAUAAGCACCGGCUAACUUCGUG